AUCAGGAGACUAAUUCAAUUCACAGUAGCUUACAUAUAAAUGAGAUAUCUAAUAAUGAACUUGAGCAGAGAGGUGAAGGGUGUCUACACCCCAGAACAAGAGCAUAGGUUUGCCCAGCUGACUGAGGAAAAUGGCAUUCCCUGGGAAAACAUAAAAAACAUACUCAAUUCAGACACCUGCCCAAAUUAAAGGUACUGCUUGGGUGACGAAAUGGGAGAAGUGUUUGAAAUGUCAAAUUCUCCAAGGCGUCCAAAUCACCAGUAUGUAGAUGCAAGAUCCUUUUCUUUGCAGUUGCAUUUUCUUCUCUUCUGUGAAGCCAUGGACCUGUAUCCAGGCUGACCUUUCCACCUGCAUCUAGACUCUGGUUAAUUUUUCAGUAUCUUGCUUGGUUAAAUAAACUGACAUCAUAAAAAUACAUAUGUUUGAAGAAAAGUAUUCAAUUUGUCAUGCACAAAGAUUUCUUCUUGAGUUUUCCUGUUUUAAAACAUGGGCCUUUGAUUGAACAGAAAAUAAUUUUCUUAGAGUAAUUGUAUAAUCCCUGGAAGUGUCAUGGAGAGAGAGUAAACUGUGAAGUAUAUCACAAUGGAAUUGAGUUUUAGGAAAUAGUGUCCCAGCGUGUGACUGUGGUGGCUUAUAGGAUGAAUGAUUACCAGAGAGGACAUGUAUUUCAAUCACUGAAAGCCCCAGAGAGGCUGUCUCAACUGAGAGUCCCUAGCAUUAGAGAGGCUCCCAGGAGAAGCCUUGGAGCUGAGAACUCUCCAGCUUUUAUUUAGAAUAUUAGUGUAAAUGAAAGAAAACAAAGCAGAAGAAAAACAGUGUGGGCUAGAAGCUGUCUCAAUGCUAAGCAGGUUUUCUCGGGGAAAAGAGAAGGACAACAGCCAGAAACAACUUGCUUCAGUAAUCUAAACUUCCUUUUGCUUAUCCCUUCGUUUCUCAUAGAGCCUGUGUGCUUUAGCCUCACAGUUUAACCAUUCACGGCCGGCCAGGUGCCCCACAUUGCCCCUGGUUUUGAGUGAUGGGGAGGAAGGGAGAAAUAUAGUGGACACAGGUAUUGGAUUUGAUGCAGGAAGGGCAUCAUAUCCUCUUGAGGGAGCAUCUGCCAGGACAACAUACAAAGGGCCUUGAAGACUGUAAGAAAAAUCAACAGAAAAUAAUUCCAAUAAUAAUAAGAAUCUAAAUAUCAACUUUGAGGCCAGAAAAGCAAUUUGGGAGGUUCAGACAGUGAGUAAUAUGAUGAUGGUGAUAUUGUGAGUGUUCCUUGAUAACUCAUGAAGUUGGGUUUGCAGGCAGUACUGGAGAUUAGUACUACCCCCAUCUAGACUGGUAUGAAAGGCACCUCCUUUCAUACACAGAAGGAGUUGGACUUCUUACCACUCUAAAUGGUUAAGUGGAAUAGAUGCAAUCUGCAUAGACUAGUAUCCCAUGUCACAACUAAAUUACAUGCAUAAACAAAGAGCUUGUGGAUGCUUUUGAGCUAUCCAAGUCUUGCCUUAAAGGCAUCAAGUUACUCUAAGAAUUUAUUUUUACCAAUGUUUGUCUGACUUUUCAUUUCACAGGGAAUAUUUUAGAAAUAUCUAUCAUAGUUUGAACAGUUUCAAUGGACUGAGAUUAGAUGAGCACCAUUGCUGUAGAUGUAGCUGUCGCAUAGUGAAUGUCCAAAAAAGACUUUUGUCUGAUAAACUUAAGCACUGGAAUAAUUUGUUCAGCGACUUAGUAUUUUAUCCAUUUUGUCUUGAGAUUGGUGGAGAGCUAUGCUUUGGCUCAUAGUCUAAGUAUCAUAAUAUGGAUAAUGUUUAAUUGAUAGAUAUUAAAAGUAUCUGUAUAUGAUUGGGGCUGGAAAGGAAUACAGUAAGUACUAUUGAAAAUAUUGGAACUACAUAUAAUGGAAAUUUAUUUUGGUCGGAAAAUAGCAUUUGAAGGGUGACAGGUAACAACCACUUGAAUAGACAGAGUGGUUGGAAUCUCUCUCACAAUCUCUUAAGGGACAUGGGGGCAUCAGUUAAGUUGUUUCUGUAUUUGAGUUUGUCAUGAGAGGAAAGAAAUGAUUUUGGAUUUUCCUGUGUAACUGUAUCUAAGGCUGGUGAGGUAGAACAUGAGUUGCCGUGUCCCUUACUUGGUGUAUAUAUGGCAGCAAAUUCAGAAAGACAAGGAGCCUUUUCAUCUUUGUCAUUUUGGAGUUGCAAGUGACUUACACAAUCUCUAAGAAUCGGAUCUUCAGAAGUGAAGGGAACCCUUAUGCUUUGCAGCAUCUCUUUGGCCAAGUGGCAUGUUGAUUUUCUGUACUGUGGUGAAAGCUUCUGAAUAACAACUUUUAAAAUAAAGAAUUAAAAGAAUCAUACCACAGUAUGUGCACCCAUGUUCAUACCAGCACAGUUUGUCAUAGCUAAAACUUGGAAACAGCC
ensembl:lncRNA